GGUUAAGCGACUAAGCGUACACGGUGGAUGCCCUGGCAGUCAGAGGCGAUGAAGGACGUGCUAAUCUGCGAUAAGCGUCGGUGAGGUGAUAUGAACCGUUAUAACCGGCGAUUUCCGAAUGGGGAAACCCAGUGUGUUUCGACACACUAUCAUUAACUGAAUCCAUAGGUUAAUGAGGCGAACCGGGGGAACUGAAACAUCUAAGUACCCCGAGGAAAAGAAAUCAACCGAGAUUCCCCCAGUAGCGGCGAGCGAACGGGGAGGAGCCCAGAGCCUGAAUCAGUGUGUGUGUUAGUGGAAGCGUCUGGAAAGGCGCGCGAUACAGGGUGACAGCCCCGUACACAAAAAUGCACAUAUUGUGAGCUCGAUGAGUAGGGCGGGACACGUGGUAUCCUGUCUGAAUAUGGGGGGACCAUCCUCCAAGGCUAAAUACUCCUGACUGACCGAUAGUGAACCAGUACCGUGAGGGAAAGGCGAAAAGAACCCCGGCGAGGGGAGUGAAAAAGAACCUGAAACCGUGUACGUACAAGCAGUGGGAGCCUCUUUAUGGGGUGACUGCGUACCUUUUGUAUAAUGGGUCAGCGACUUAUAUUCUGUAGCAAGGUUAACCGAAUAGGGGAGCCGAAGGGAAACCGAGUCUUAACUGGGCGUUAAGUUGCAGGGUAUAGACCCGAAACCCGGUGAUCUAGCCAUGGGCAGGUUGAAGGUUGGGUAACACUAACUGGAGGACCGAACCGACUAAUGUUGAAAAAUUAGCGGAUGACUUGUGGCUGGGGGUGAAAGGCCAAUCAAACCGGGAGAUAGCUGGUUCUCCCCGAAAGCUAUUUAGGUAGCGCCUCGUGAAUUCAUCUCCGGGGGUAGAGCACUGUUUCGGCAAGGGGGUCAUCCCGACUUACCAACCCGAUGCAAACUGCGAAUACCGGAGAAUGUUAUCACGGGAGACACACGGCGGGUGCUAACGUCCGUCGUGAAGAGGGAAACAACCCAGACCGCCAGCUAAGGUCCCAAAGUCAUGGUUAAGUGGGAAACGAUGUGGGAAGGCCCAGACAGCCAGGAUGUUGGCUUAGAAGCAGCCAUCAUUUAAAGAAAGCGUAAUAGCUCACUGGUCGAGUCGGCCUGCGCGGAAGAUGUAACGGGGCUAAACCAUGCACCGAAGCUGCGGCAGCGACACUAUGUGUUGUUGGGUAGGGGAGCGUUCUGUAAGCCUGUGAAGGUGGCCUGUGAGGGUUGCUGGAGGUAUCAGAAGUGCGAAUGCUGACAUAAGUAACGAUAAAGCGGGUGAAAAGCCCGCUCGCCGGAAGACCAAGGGUUCCUGUCCAACGUUAAUCGGGGCAGGGUGAGUCGACCCCUAAGGCGAGGCCGAAAGGCGUAGUCGAUGGGAAACAGGUUAAUAUUCCUGUACUUGGUGUUACUGCGAAGGGGGGACGGAGAAGGCUAUGUUGGCCGGGCGACGGUUGUCCCGGUUUAAGCGUGUAGGCUGGUUUUCCAGGCAAAUCCGGAAAACCAAGGCUGAGGCGUGAUGACGAGGCACUACGGUGCUGAAGCGACAAAUGCCCUGCUUCCAGGAAAAGCCUCUAAGCAUCAGGUAACAUCAAAUCGUACCCCAAACCGACACAGGUGGUCAGGUAGAGAAUACCAAGGCGCUUGAGAGAACUCGGGUGAAGGAACUAGGCAAAAUGGUGCCGUAACUUCGGGAGAAGGCACGCUGAUAUGUAGGUGAAGCGACUUGCUCGUGGAGCUGAAAUCAGUCGAAGAUACCAGCUGGCUGCAACUGUUUAUUAAAAACACAGCACUGUGCAAACACGAAAGUGGACGUAUACGGUGUGACGCCUGCCCGGUGCCGGAAGGUUAAUUGAUGGGGUUAGCGGUAACGCGAAGCUCUUGAUCGAAGCCCCGGUAAACGGCGGCCGUAACUAUAACGGUCCUAAGGUAGCGAAAUUCCUUGUCGGGUAAGUUCCGACCUGCACGAAUGG
rnacentral:rRNA from 1 species